AUAUGCAUUUAAUAUUUUUAAAAAUAGUUCAAAAGCUGUCAAAAUAAAAUGGUGAAUUGAGUUUAAACCAGAAAAGAUAUAAACGUAAUCUUUUGGAUUCAACUUGUAAGGAUGUUCCAAGAACCACUUAGUUGGAGAAGGAAAACUGUGCCGUUCAUUAACAAGUCCUGUGCUUUAUAAUACAUUAAAAAAUAGAAGGACGUGAAGAAAACAAGUUUGUAAAUGAUGUUGUACAUCAUGCAGAUAGCUCAGAAAAAGAAGCAGGAAUGUUUGACUGGAAAUAUAAACGAUGUUGUACAUAAUGCAGAUAGCAAUACAUAAUACAGAUAAGCUUAGGCAAAAAAGAGAUUGGUGAAAUGGAGAAUGAGACUAACUAGGGU
rnacentral:lncRNA from 1 species